rfam:Gossypium hirsutum cultivar TM-1 unplaced genomic scaffold scaffold4637.1, whole genome shotgun sequence
AACCCAUGGUGAAGGAACCUUUUCAAUAGAUCCUUGUAUCUCUCUCAUGCAUCAUAGAGUGUUUCUAGCUCCAUUUGCACAAAAGAAGAGAUAUCAUUCCUCAAUUU